rnacentral:rRNA from 1 species
AUUGAACGCUGGCGGCAGGCCUAACACAUGCAAGUCGAACGAGUGGCGGACGGGUGAGUAAUGUCUGGGAAACUGCCUGAUGGAGGGGGAUAACUACUGGAAACGGUAGCUAAUACCGCAUACCAUCGGAUGUGCCCAGAUGGGAUUAGCUAGUAGGUGGGGUAACGGCUCACCUAGGCGACGAUCCCUAACUGGUCUGAGAGGAUGACCAGCAAAACUGGAACUGAGACACGGUCCAGACUCCUACGGGAGGCAGCAUUGGGGAAGUUUGCACAAGGGGGGCAAGCCGGAUGCAGCCAUGCCGCGUGGAUGAAGAAGGCCUUCGGGUUGUAAAGUACUUUCAGCGGGGAGGCGUUACCCGCAGAAGAAGCACCGGCUAACUCCGUGCCAGCAGCCGCGGUAAUUC